GAUGAACGCUGGCGGCGUGCUUAAUACAUGCAAGUCGAACGGAGGAUAUAGCAAUAUGUCCUCAGUGGCGAACGGGUGAGUAACGCGUUGGUGACCUGCCCCGAAGCGUGGGAUAACAGGCCGAAAGGCCUGCUAAUACCGCAUGAGCUAGCCAUGGAUUAGGAAGUGGUUAGGAAACGGAGCAAUCCGCUUUGGGAGGGGCCUGCGUCCCAUCAGCUAGUUGGUAAGGUAACGGCUUACCAAGGCGAUGACGGGUAGGGGGCCUGAGAGGGUGAACCCCCACAAUGGAACUGAAACACGGUCCAUACACCUACGGGUGGCUG
rnacentral:rRNA from 1 species